GAUGAACGCUGGCGGUAUGCUUAACACAUGCAAGUCGAACGGACUCUUCGGAGUUAGUGGCGGACGGGUGAGUAACGCGUGAGAAUCUGGCUUUGGGUUCGGGACAACCACUGGAAACGGUGGCUAAUACCGGAUGUGCCGAGAGGUAAAAGAGAAAUUGCCUGAAGAUGAGCUCGCGUCUGAUUAGCUAGUUGGUGAGGUAAAGGCUCACCAAGGCAGCGAUCAGUAGCUGGUCUGAGAGGAUGACCAGCCACACUGGGACUGAGACACGGCCCAGACUCCUACGGGAGGCAGCAGUGGGGAAUUUUCCGCAAUGGGCGAAAGCCUGACGGAGCAAUACCGCGUGAGGGAAGAAGGCUCUUGGAUUGUAAACCUCUUUUCCUAGGGAAGAACAAAAUGACGGUACCUAAGGAAUCAGCAUCGGCUAACUCCGUG
rnacentral:rRNA from 1 species